rnacentral:rRNA from 1 species
UCGCCUGCACGAAGUUGGAAUUGCUAGUAAUCGUGGAUCAGCAUGCCACGGUGAAUACGUUCCCGGGUCUUGUACACACCGCCCGUCACACCAUGGGAGCCGGUAAUACCCGAAGUCAGUAGUCUAACCGCAAGGAGGACGCUGCCGAAGGUAGGAUUGGCGACUGGGGUGAAGUCGUAACAAGGUAAC